UACAUAGGUCCCGAGCGUUGUCCGGAUUUAUUGGGCGUAAAGCGAGCGCAGGUGGUUUAUUAAGUCUGGUGUAAAGGGCAGUGGCUCAACCAUUGUAUGCAUUGGAAACUGGUAGACUUGAGUGCAGGAGAGGAGAGUGGAAUUCCAUGUGUAGCGGUGAAAUGCGUAGAUAUAUGGAGGAACACCGGUGGCGAAAGCGGCUCUCUGGCCUGUAACUGACACUGAGGCUCGAAAGCGUGGGGAGCAAACAGG
rnacentral:rRNA from 1 species